CUCUUUUUGANNNUAAUNUAAAGUAGGGCCUGCCCACUGAAUUUUGAAGGGCCGCAGUAUUUUGACUGUGCAAAGGUAGCAUAAUCAUUAGUUUUUUAAUUGAAAGCUUGUAUGAAUGGUUUGAUGAGAGAAUUUCUGUCUCAAUUUUAAUUUUUUAAAAUUUUAUUUUUAAGUAAAAAAGCUUGAAUAUUUUUAAAAGACGAGAAGACUCUAUAGAGUUUAAUUUAAAAUAAUUUUAAUAAUUGUAUUCAUUUUUUUUAAUUUCAUUUUAAAUUGGGUUGGGGUGACUAAAAAAUUAAAUAAACUUUUUUUUUAUUUUUACAUUAAUUUAUGAAUUGUUGAUCCAUAAAAAUGAUUAAAAGAUUAAAUUAUCUUAGGGAUAACAGCGUAAUUUUUUUUUAGAGUUCUUAUUGAAAGAAAAGAUUGCGACCUCGAUGUUGGAUUAAAAUUUAUUUUUGGUGUAGAAGCUAAAAAAUUAGGUCUGUUCGACNUUUAAAAUUUUACAUGAUCUGAGUUUAAACCGGUGUAAGCCAGGUUGGUUUCUAUCUUUAAAAAAAUUAAAUAUUUAAGUACGAAAGGAUCAAAAAUUUUAUUAAUAAUAUAAUUUUUGAAUAAAAUUUUUAUUUUGGCAGAAUAGUGCGAAAGAUUUAGAAUCUUUUUAUGUAAUUUUUACAGAUAAAAAUUGAUUUAAUUUUAAUUUUUGUAAAUUUUCUUUUAUUAUUCAUUGGAGUUUCAGUAGGAGUUGCUUUUUCAACUUUAUUAGAGCGUAAACUUUU
rnacentral:rRNA from 1 species